rnacentral:rRNA from 1 species
AACGAACGCUGGCGGCAGGCCUAAUACAUGCAAGUCGAACGAUCCUUCGGGAUAGUGGCGCACGGGUGAGUAACACGUGGGAACAUACCCUUGGGUGCGGAACAACGUCGGGAAACUGACGCUAAUACCGCAUAAUGACUCCGGUCCAAAGAUUUAUCGCCCAAGGAUUGGCCCGCGCUAGAUUAGGUUGUUGGUGAGGUAACGGCUCACCAAGCCUACGAUCUAUAGCUGGUCUGAGAGGAUGAUCAGCCACACUGGGACUGAGACACGGCCCAGACUCCUACGGGAGGCAGCAGUAAGGAAUAUUGGACAAUGGGGGCAACCCUGAUCCAGCCAUGCCGCGUGAGUGAAGAAGGCCUUAGGGUUGUAAAGCUCUUUCAGGUGCGAAGAUAAUGACUGUAACACCAGAAGAAGCCCCGGCUAAAUUCGUG